UUUAAGUGUAUUAAAUUUGACAUACUUAGAGUGACAAUUCAAUAUACUUAUGGGAAGUAUAUUUUUUGGAAAUUAUUUGUUAAUUUACUUUUUUAGCAUACUAGGAUCUCACUUCAUUAGAAGUGUGACUUCUGUACACUUUAUACAGUACACUAUAAAAUAAGUGUAUUUUUAGUUGCAUAUCAGAGUACUUUCAUAAAAUACGUUAGAAUAAUAAAAUGUAGGCUAUACACUGCAUGAAAAGAGCUGUAUCCAGACAAAUACGGAUGGGAAAUCCCUGCUAAACUUUAGGUUUGCCAGAUAAAUGAGGCAGAGUGCUUGGAAACGUAAUACUCAGAAGUAAACUCGUGAAACAUCCAGAAACCUUGUGUAUAUGGAUGUAUACUGGUGGAAGUUUCUAGGAAUCCUCACAGCUGGUUGUAAGGAGUGCUGGUUGUGAGGUGUGAAGGGUUAAUGACAGAGUUGCUGUCUCUGUUUUCAAAGCUGGGUGGGGGGUUCAAGGCAGCACAUAACAUAAAAACAUUAUAUAUCUACAAGUGUGUUUACUAAAUACAUGUAUUAUUAUGCUAAUGUAAUUUAAUUGAUAAAGGUUUUUUUAUUUAAGAAAAUCUGAGCAUCACUCAAAAUAACUGUCAACAUGUUUGUCAACUAAACAUGUUUUGUAAACGUUAUACAUUUUAUAAAAAUAUUUAAUAUUUUUAUUAUUGAUAAAGUAUAAAGAACAAAUCAGUGUGAAAACGCAGAUUAUAAAAAGUACAUAAAGUGCCAGCAGAGGAUCCAAAAUAAUGAAAAAAAAAAAAAACAUCCAAUGCAACUUGGAAAUUGUAGUCAAAAUACAUCUACAGCAGCAUGCUAAAGCAGUACCAACGCCAGGGCAAAAGACUCAAAUUCCCAGAAUGCACCUGCACCCACCCAUUCAUUCCCACCAAUCAGGAUCAACGGCAUUUUUCAAACCGCUACUGACUCGUUUUCAUGCUAAACAGUACGGCUGAGGUAAGUUUGACUUUCAUUCCUUUACAUCGCGCAGAUCUGUUCCAUAUUUGUUCCUAUUUUGUUCUUCACUGUGAUUAUUUUUGUCUUUAUGCGAGAAGUGUUUUAAUUUAAAGCACACACAGGAAACAUUAAGAAGGUCAUGUACCAUGUGGUCGACCUUGCUGACGCUGAAGAGGUUUCUGUGUAAAAAUGAUGACAUUGAGACAAACAGACCAGUUCUGGCUGCCGUGGAGGUCAACACACCACUGAUCUACUGGCUGCCCUUCAACGUGAUGCCCAGCCGAUGCCUGACCACCGACGGAACUAGGGCUGCACGAUAAGUCGCAUGUGUUUGUCAGGCGCAUCUCCUCAGUAAUGCCGGUUCCUUGAUUAGUAUUAAAUCGCCAUCAGCUGUUUUCAGAUGUAGCAGCUUUAACUACACAGAGCCGUAGUUCACUGACAAUCGGGGCAAUUUCGCAUUAAUUAUCGCGGACGUAUCGGCUGCGAUAUGUAUGCGAUAUGGCCCAGCUUGUCAGGGAACUACGGCUCUGUAGUUAAAGCUGCUCCAUCU